GGGCAAUUGGUCUAGGGGUAUGAUAUUCGCUUCGCACUGAAUCUAAAGAUGUGUUUGCGAAGGGUCCGGGGUUCAAUUCCCCGAUUGUCCA